GAGUUUUCCCUCAAGCAGCUAUGGUCAGUUUCUUUUGUGCUGCUAAUGUAUUUUUCCUAUUUUGCUUUAUAAUUUUAUAUGAUAAUGUUGAAUUCAUACGGACCAGAGUACUUAUAAUGUCUUUCGUUUUUCUUAUCAGUUAUGCGAGUUGAUUUUUCUACUUAUUCUGUCCAUGAUAAAUCUAAUUGCUUUAGUAAUUAAAUGUACCCAUGGGGAACUAUCAUGUUUUUGUUUACUAUUUUUUAUCCUUCCAAAAGCUUAUAUUUGGAAUUGCA
rnacentral:misc_RNA from 1 species